rnacentral:ncRNA from 1 species
GUUGGUUGAUAGAGACAGCAGGAAGGUGGCCACGGAAGUGGGAAUCCACUAAGGAGUGUGUAACAACUCACCUACCCAAUCAACUGGCCCUGAAAAUGGAUGGCGCUGGUGCGACGGGCCCAUACCCGGCCGGCCAUAGCUGGAGGUCGGUCGGAGACAAAGGGGAACCGGAUCCACGGGGCACACGCGCCCCCGCCCGGCCCGGCACACACCCGCGCAAACUACGCGGUGACAAGUCCGAGUAGGAGGGCCGCUGCGGUGAGCCUUGAUGCCUAGAGCGUGGGCCCGGGUGGAGC